UACGUAGGGGGCAAGCGUUGUCCGGAUUUAUUGGGCGUAAAGAGCUCGUAGGCGGUUGGGCAAGUCACGUGUGAAAUCUCCACGCUCAACGUGGAGGCGCCACGUGAGACUGCCCUGACUCGAGUCCGGUAGGGGAGCGUGGAAUUCCCGGUGUAGCGGUGAAAUGCGCAGAGAUCGGGAGGAACACCGGCGGCGAAGGCGGCUGCCUGGACCGGCCCUGACGCUGAGGCGCGAAAGCUAGGGGAGCAAACAGG
rnacentral:rRNA from 1 species